CCUACGGGUAGCAGCAGUAGGGAAUAUUGCUCAAUGGGGGAAACCCUGAAGCAGCAACGCCGCGUGGAGGAUGAAGGUUUUAUGAUUUUUAACUCCUUUUUUUAGAGAAGAUUAUGACGGUAUCUAACGAAUAAGCACCGGCUAACUCCGUGCCCGCCGCCGUGGUGAUACGUCUGCUGCAGGCGUUACUCGGCAUCAGUGGGCGUCAGUGGUGCGUAUGCGGGGUAAUAAGUCAGAUGUGAAAUCCUGUAGCUUAACUACAGAACUGCAUUUGAAACUGUUACUCUGGAGUGUGCGAGAGGUAGGUGGAAUUCUUGGUGUAGGGGUAAAAUCCGUAGAGAUCAAGAGGAAUACUCAUUGCGAAGGCGACAUGCUGGAACAUUACUGACGCUGAUGCACGAAAGCGUGGGGAGCGAACAGGAUUAGAUACCCGAGUAGUC
rnacentral:rRNA from 1 species